AACUGACCCAAAGCAGAAGUCAGCAGGAAUGGGAGCUGCAACAAGUGAGAGUGGGAGAAUCGACCUGUAAAUGAUUAGACAGGAUGAGAGAGAAGAUGGGCAAGACAAGAAGCUAGGACCACAGACAUUACCAGAAAUAUUCUCAGAGCACGAAGAAGAGAAAACAGAAAACAUCCAUUGAAUCCUCUGCCUCUGGUAAAGUAUGGCUCCCAGUAUGCCUCCUUCAAGAGCAUGACUGACCCAAUUACUAGUAUAAGCAAAAGGAAGAAACCCCCAAUUGAACUGAUGUAAAACAUACACAGUGGCGAUGAAUUAUAACCCAGUUAAAACUGGAUCUGAAAGCUGAAUAAAAGACAUGCAAAAGCUAAA